rnacentral:lncRNA from 1 species
AGUCCCGAUCGUCCUGGCGCGGUCUGGUUUUCCAUUUUGAUUUGUUUGCCCUCGAAGCGUUUGAUGCAAUGCCUCAAGUCAGUGCGCGCUGAGGGGCUGUCAAUACACCAAAUUUAGAUGCUUGUUUCUGAUCCAACAUUCUAACACAAUGAAAUGGCUUACUUUUGCUUAUAAUGAAUAAGCAAAUGAAGUGUUUGCGGUUGUUUAAUUUGUGCUACAUUUCUGUGCUGAGUGCUUUAUAUCAGACAUCUGUCCAAUUUUUUCUGCUAGAUCUUUACCUGGUAGGUUAUUAUAAUUCUUCCCUUAGUUCUCCAUGUAACAAAAUAGAAGGCGCAGCUCUAACCACAUUAUGACAGAUAGCUCUUUGAAGUGGUUGAAAGUCAGAGUAUUGGGCUGGUUUACUAUUCCAAACAAAAGUAAAAGCAGGAUUAAAUGAGCAGUGCAAACCUAUUUCGUUAUUAAGGGUUAAUACUUAAUAACAAUAGUUAUGUUUUUCUUUUUCGCUUAGCAGGAACAAAUAAAAAUGACGAAGAUCUUUCUAGGUGUUUGUGGUUGGCACUGAAUAAAAAGCAUCUAGAGAAAAGGGUGUCAUGGUUAUUAAAAUUUAGUAAAAAAAAUACAAUUAGCCUGACCUAUCUAUUCUUGUUAACCCUGAACAGCUUGGCUGUUUGAAGUACAACAGAAAUACAAAUUGAUGUCAAGUUCUUAACUGAAUAAAUAAGAUAACAGUACAAAACGACAUUAAUCAUUAGUGACAGGCAUGGUUAUGAAGGUGUGUGUGCCCCCUUCUGGACACCUAGGUGCUUAAGGCGCACAGCUAGGCGACACAACACAUACACUCCAACCUACAGUGGAGCAGCAUACCUACAGUGGAGCAGCAUAAACAUACCUUGUUGCUGUAGCUGACACAGAGACACGUAUCACAAUCUGUAAACUGUAAUAGGCAAAGAUGAUAAACUAAAGGCAGUAAAGCAAAGGCACACAUUCACACAAAGCAGUGAAGCACUAUGGGUCUAUGGCUAUACAGCAGCAGACUUGCAGAGCACAAAACACAAGUACGGGGCACAUAGCACUAGCAGUCUAGCACAAGCAGUCGGAGCAGUUCACGACUUCACAUCCAGGCACAAGCAGGUGCCUCACAGCAGAGCAGGCACAAGCAGGAGCAACACACGUCCAAGCAGCAACUGUAAGGGGAGGGAAGCAGGUGGGAGAGAAAUAGAUACCUGUGUGCCAUGGCCCAUGAGCUUGUGACAACAGGCUGACAGGGACGGGAAUCAGCGGAGGAAAGGAAGGAUGCCUGAAUCAGAUGUGUGAAUCUGUGGAGAAGAGGAACUAGGCACGAACUGAAGGCGUGAAUUGAUGAAUGAGUAUGGCAGCACCUAUCAAAGGUGCAAUCGGUGGAGAUGAGGAGGGAGGCAUGCGUAUGAGAGAAAGGGGCUGGAGCAGCUGAAUUCUGGCUUUUUGCCGCCAAG